GCUGAAAGCUGGCGGCAUGCUUAACACAUGCAAGUCGAACGGAAAGGCCACAGCUCGCUGUGGUGCUCGAGUGGCGAACGGGUGAGUAACACGUAGGUGAUCUGCCCUGUACUUAGGGAUAAGCUUGGGAAACUGGGUCGAAUAACGGAUAGGAAUCACCCGUGGGUGGGAGGUUGGAAAGCUUUUUCGGGAUGGGCUGAGCUCGCGGCCUAUCAGCUUGUUGGUGGGGUGCUGGCCUACGAAGGCGUCGACGGGUAGCCGGCCUGAGAGGGUGUACUGCCACCGUGGGACUGUGAUACGGCCCGGACUCCUACGGGGGCCAGCAGUGUCGAAUACUGCACAAGGGGCGCAAGCCUGAUGCAGCGACGCCGCGUGGGGGAUGACGGCCUUCGGGUUGUAAACUUCUUUCGUCUGGGACGAAGCGAAAGUGACGGUACCUGGAUAAGAAGCACCCGAUAAUUACUUG
rnacentral:rRNA from 1 species